rnacentral:rRNA from 1 species
AGUGAACGCUGGCGGUAGGCCUAACACAUGCAAGUCGAACGGCAGCACAGUAAGAGCUUGCUCUUACGGGUGGCGAGUGGCGGACGGGUGAGGAAUACAUCGGAAUCUACUUUUUCGUGGGGGAUAACGUAGGGAAACUUACGCUAAUACCGCAUACGACCUACGGGUGAAAGCAGGGGAUCUUCGGACCUUGCGCGAUUGAAUGAGCCGAUGUCGGAUUAGCUAGUUGGCGGGGUAAAGGCCCACCAAGGCGACGAUCCGUAGCUGGUCUGAGAGGAUGAUCAGCCACACUGGAACUGAGACACGGUCCAGACUCCUACGGGAGGCAGCAGUGGGGAAUAUUGGACAAUGGGCGCAAGCCUGAUCCAGCCAUACCGCGUGGGCGAAGAAGGCCUUCGGGUUGUAAAGCCCUUUGUUGGGAAAGAAAAGCAGCAGGUUAAUACCCCGCUGUUCUGACGGUACCCAAAGAAUAAGCACCGGCUAACUUCGUG